UGUUCUGUGGCUUAGUUGGUUAAAGCGCCGGUCUGGCGAAUACGGAGUCGUGGGUUCGAAUCCCACCAGAACGC
rfam:Aedes albopictus isolate Foshan contig18073, whole genome shotgun sequence.